GUAACAUGUGAUUCAUAUCACAUGUGCUUGUGUCCAAAGGGAAACACAAGUUAAGAUCUCUACUUGUUUUUGUGUGAGACUUUAAGGAUUGUAAGUAAUCUUUGCCUGUACCCUUAUGACUCUAAUUUGUUACUUAAGACUUAAUUUAGUGUUUGCUAUCUUUGGUUGUCGGUAAAGAACUAUGUGAGAUAUGAUUUGAUGGGGCAUUCCUAAACUAUGUGAGAUAUGAUUUGAUGGGGCAUUCCUAAAAAAGCAAAGUAAAUUAAGGUUGAGAGUAUCGG
rnacentral:misc_RNA from 1 species